AUGCCUCAGACUAAAAGGCUUCGGUCAUUGGACAAAACGGCAUCGCGCCCUCCGACUGAAAAGCUUCAGGUCUCAGGAGAAAGGACGUCAGGUGUCAGGUCUCAUAAAAUUAGGCAUCAGACCAAACGGACUCAGACGAAAAGGCAUCAGACCAAACGGACUCAGACUGAAAAGCUUCAGGUCUCAGGAAAAAUGACGUCAGGUGUCAGGUCUCAUACAAUUAGGCAUCAGACGAAACGGACUCAGACAAAAAGGCAUCAGACGAAACGGACUCAGACAAAAAGGCAUCAUACAAAAUGGACUCAGGUGGAGUAUCGCGUUGCCCUGCCCCAGGUGACGUCACACGCACGCGGUUCAGAGGAAGUGGUAUAUAAUGGUUGAUUGAUGGCAAAAGGAGGUAAGCGGUGUCUGAUAUAUUAUAUUUUAAGUGCACGAUCCAUCUGAAACAUUCCAGUUUGGACUAGUGGAGGUAAAAAGCACAUCUGCUGACAGCAUUACUCAGGUUCCAUUUAUGAAAAUUCAAAGAGGACUAGCCAAACUUAAAGAGACCCAUAAGUACUACUGCUAGGUACAAGGUCAGCUUGCAGGUACUGGUCUACACUGGUGUGACUUUGUGACUGAUACAAAAUUAGAUUUCACAGUACAGAGGAUCUGCCGAGAUGAUGCUUUCAUAGCAUAAAUGAAAGACAAGCUAGACAUGUACUAUUAUGAUGUUUCCAUGGAUGUGUAUAUUUCAGUGGUAUGAACGGACAGAUUCUGUUCAUAUUAUAGUAUGAACUUAAGAUUUGUUCUUACAUUAAUAGUAAGUAUAUACUUUAUGUAGUUGAGUAGUAUGUAGCAUAUUUUGUAGAUCUUUUGUAACAUAUUAGAUACAUCACAAAUUAUAACAUUAAAUAUAUAGUACAUACCAAGGUGAAUACAUUGUUUUUUAUUAGAUCUUCUGUAAUGUAUAUGAUAUGCAUACACAUGAACUAGUUGUAUAUAUUUACAUUUGAUACAUUGCGUGAAAUAACAAUGAACACCAGAAUGAACUUUUUUUUUUUCAUGAAUUAUUAUAAAAAGACUUUUCAUUGUCAACUAUUUCAUUGUGUCUGUCAAAUUAUUUUCAGGGAAAUUUUAUAUAAAUAAUUUCAAUAUACAUAAGAAAAUUUUCUUAUGUGCACUGCAACUAACUGAAAAAGUAACAAAAAAGUAUUUAAAAAAAAACCUACUAUCAAAAGUUAACACUAAAACACUACUAUUGUAAUAAUCACGGUCAUUCUAAAAAAUCGAAUAUACAUUCACUGCUCAAGAAACAUUGGUCCCUGAUGAUUAACCAUAAAGUCAAAUUUAUGCCAGAUCUGAUUAAUACUUCCUGACAAGGUGAGUGGCACAACAGAAU
ensembl:lncRNA